UCAAAGAUUAAGCCAUGCAAGUGAAAGUAUAUGCAUAUUUUAUAUGUAGAAACUGCGAACGGCUCAUUAAAACAGUUAUAAUCUACUUGACAUUUCUACUUACAAGGAUAACUACGGAAAAGCUGUAGCUAAUACUUGCUUUAAUGCGUUUGAUUCAUUUUUGUGUCUUACGUAUGUACUUGUUAAGCCUUUAAGAGAAAAGUUUACAACUUAAGGAAUUAUAACAAAGAAGUAACACAUAAUAAGUUUACCUUAUUUAGUGUGUAUCAAUCGAGUUUCUGACCUAUCAGCUUUUGAUGUUAGGGUAUUGGCCUAACAUGGCUAUGACGGGUAACGGGGAAUUAGAGUUCGAUUCCGGAGAGGGAGCCUGAGAAAUAGCUACCACAUCUAAGGAAGGCAGCAGGCGCGUAAAUUACCCAAUUCUAAAGAAGAGAGGUAGUGACAAGAAAUAACAAUACAAGGCCAUUUCAUGGUUUUGUAAUUGGAAUGAUGGGAAUUUAAAACCUUCCCAAAAUUCAAUUGGAGGGCAAGUCUGGUGCCAGCAGCCGCGGUAAUUCCAGCUCCAAUAGCGUAUAUUAAAAUUGUUGCAGUUAAAACGCUCGUAGUUGAAUUUCAAAGAAUCAAUAUUUUAAGUAAUGCUUUUGGUUUAAGAUGCUUAGGCAAUACAACGUAUCUGCUCUUUGCAUUCCUUAUCCAAAAUGUGUUCUUAUUAUAAAAAGGAUUCUUUUUAAAAUCUCCUUUACUUUUUCUUGUACAGGAGAUUUUGUUACUUUGAGUAAAUUAGAGUGUUCAAAGCAAACAGUUAAAGCAUUUUACUGCGUUUGAAUACUACAGCAUGGAAUAACAAAAUUGAACAAGUCAAAACUCUGUUCCUUUUUCUUAUUUUGGCUUAGUUACGAUUAAUAGGAGUAGCUUGGGGGCAUUUGUAUUCAGAUGUCAGAGGUGAAAUUCUUAGAUUUUCUGGAGACAAACAACUGCGAAAGCAUUUGCCUAAAAUACUUCCAUUAAUCAAGAACGAAAGUUAAGGGAGUGAAGACGAUCAGAUACCGUCGUAAUCUUAACCAUAAACUAUACCAACUAGGUUUUGGAUGAAAAGUUUUUAAAUAAGAAAAUUCCUUUUGGAAAUUUCUUAGAUUGCUUCCUUCAGUACCUUAUGAGAAAUCAAAGUCUUUGGGUUCUGGGGCGAGUAUUCGCGCAAGCGAGAAAGUUAAAAGAAUUGACGGAAGGGCACCACCAGGCGUGGAGCUUGCGGCUUAAUUUGACUCAACACGGGGAAACUCACUAGUUUAAGACAAGAGUAGGAUUGACAGAUUAAUAGCUCUUUCUUGAUUUCUUGGAUGGUGAUGCAUGGCCGUUUUUAGUUCGUGAAUAUGAUUUGUCUGGUUAAUUCCGAUAACGAACGAGAUCUUAACCUGCUAAUUAGCGGCGAAUACGUUAUAUUCCUACUUGAAAUUGAAUAUAGCUGAAUUUUGCUUAUUUUGAAGAAUACAUUAGGAUACAAUUAUAGUGUCCUUUUCCCUUUUCUACUUAAUUUGCUAUUCAUGCUGUUUCUUUUUUGUGUAGGAAUGUAUUCGUUUGAUUGUAAAGCUUCUUAGAGGAACGAUGUGUGUCUAACACAAGGAAGUUUAAGGCAACAACAGG
rnacentral:rRNA from 1 species